AACGCACGAGACCUGCGGACCUGCGGAGGGAUCAUUAAUGAGAAACUGCCCCUCGCGGGUAGAUCUCCCACCCUUUGUAAACUUACCUUUGUUGCUUUGGCAGGCCCGUCCCCGGACCGCCGGCUUCGGCUGGCCAGUGCCUGCCAGAGGAUUCUAAAACUCUGUCUGUCAGUGUUGUCUGAGUCUAUAUACAAUCGUUAAAACUUUUAACAACGGAUCUCUAGAUCGGAAGAGCACACG
rnacentral:misc_RNA from 1 species